GCUUGGGUGCCUGAUGUAAAUAACUUUCCAGCGCAGUGGAAAGAAUACAAUUUGAAAAUAUGCAAUGGUGACCUACAUUUUAUGAAUGAUUUGCUGGCGGGCUGGGAGUAUAUGUUCUCAUGUGACAGUGUUUGUAAAUGCCUGAAUCUGAACUUCUGGAAACAUUUGUAUGUUCAUGUUACCAUUGAAAUGUUGUUGUUUGUAAUUUGAAAGACACUCAUGUUUAGUCUUUUCAUACAGAUAAGCGAAACAAAGGGAUUUACUUCAGGUUCUGCUAAGGUUUAUGUCACGGUGGAACAAAUCAACAAACGUUCUCUUGGAAAGCUGAUAGUAAAGGUUGUAGGACACGAAGGAUGG